rnacentral:rRNA from 1 species
CCUACGGGUGGCAGCAGUGAGGAAUAUUGGUCAAUGGACGCGAGCCUGAACCAGCCAAGCCGCGUGCAGGAAGACGGCCCUAUGAGUUGUAAACUUCUUUUGUAAGGGCGUAAACGCAGAUACGCGUGUCUGUCUGAAAGUAUCUUACGAAUAAGGAUCGGCUAACUCCGUGCCAGCAGCCGCGGUAAUACGGAGGAUUCGAGCGUUAUCCGGAUUUAUUUGGUUUAAAGGGUGCGUAGGCGGGUGGAUAAGUUAGUGGUGAAAGCGCGAGGCUCAACUGCCUAAUUGCCUCUGAUACUGGUCGGCUAGAGAGUAGUUGCGGUAGGCGGAAUGUAUGGUGUAGCGGUGAAAUGCUUAGAGAUCACGAAGAACACCGAUUGCGAAGGCAGCUUACCAAGCUACUUCUGACGUUGAGGCACGAAAGCGUGGGGAGCAAACAGGAUUAGAUACCCUUGUAGUC